GCAGUCGUGGCCGAGUGGUUAAGGCGAUGGACUUGAAAUCCAUUGGGGUCUCUCCUCACAGGUUCGAAUCCUGUCGGCUGCG
rnacentral:tRNA from 1 species